rnacentral:rRNA from 1 species
AGAUAGUUGGUGAGGUAACGGCUCACCAAGUCGACGAUCAGUAGCCGGACUGAGAGGUUGAACGGCCACAUUGGGACUGAGACACGGCCCAGACUCCUCGGGAGGCAGCAGUGGGGAAUAUUGCACAAUGGGGGAAACCCUGAUGCAGCGACGCCGCGUGGAGGAAGAAGGUCUUCGGAUUGUAAACUCCUGUUGUUGAGGAAGAUAAUGACGGUACUCAACAAGGAAGUGACGGCUAACUACGUGCCAGCAGCCGCGGUAAAACGUAGGUCACAAGCGUUGUCCGGAAUUACUGGGUGUAAAGGGAGCGCAGGCGGGAAGACAAGUUGGAAGUGAAAUCCAUGGGCUCAACCCAUGAACUGCUUUCAAAACUGUUUUUCUUGAGUAGUGCAGAGGUAGGCGGAAUUCCCGGUGUAGCGGUGGAAUGCGUAGAUAUCGGGAGGAACACCAGUGGCGAAGGCGGCCUACUGGGCACCAACUGACGCUGAGGCUCGAAAGUGUGGGUAGCAAACAGGAUUAGAUACCCUGGUAGUCCACACUGUAAACGAUGAUUACUAGGUGUUGGAGGAUUGACCCCUUCAGUGCCGCAGUUAACACAAUAAGUAAUCCACCUGGGGAGUACGACCGCAAGGUUGAAACUCAAAGGAAUUGACGGGGGCCCGCACAAGCAGUGGAGUAUGUGGUUUAAUUCGACGCAACGCGAAGAACCUUACCAAGUCUUGACAUCCUGCGACGGACAUAGAAAUAUGUUUUUCCUUCGGGACGCAGAGACAGGUGGUGCAUGGUUGUCGUCAGCUCGUGUCGUGGGAUGUUGGGUUAAGUCCCGCAACGAGCGCAACCCUUAUGGUCAGUUACUACGCAAGAGGACUCUGGCCAGACUGCCGUUGACAAAACGGAGGAAGGUGGGGAUGACGUCAAAUCAUCAUGCCCUUUAUGACUUGGGCUACACACGUACUACAAUGGCGUUAAACAAAGAGAAGCAAGACCGCGAGGUGGAGCAAAACUCAGAAACAACGUCCCAGUUCGGACUGCAGGCUGCAACUCGCCUGCACGAAGUCGGAAUUGCUAGUAAUCGCAGAUCAGCAUGCUGCGGUGAAUACGUUCCCGGGCUUUGUACACACCGCCCGUCACACCAUGAGAGCCGGGGGGACCCGAAGUCGGUAGUCUAACCGCAAGGAGGACGCCGCCGAAGGUAAAACUGGUGAUUGGGGUGAAGUCGUAACAAGGUAGCCGUAGGAGAACCUGCGGCUG